AUAUAAUUUAAUAUAUGCGUAUAUAUAUAUGUAUGUAUAUAUAUAUAUAUAUAUAUAUAUAUAUAUAUAUAUAUAUAUAUAUAUAUGUAUAUAUAUAUAUAUGUAUGUAUGUGUUCCAGCACCCUACCACUAUGGAUGUCAAUGUUGCGGUGUGGAAGCAAGGCUCACCAACCAAUCAAUGAUUUCAUAAAGCAGUGAUUUAAUAACCUUCGCAUUCAAAGGAAUAAAUAAUAUACUAUCAGAAUUCUACAAGACCUCGUGGAAUUGCAGAGUUACAAAGGCAGCGUCGCUUUUGCUCACUGCUGUCCAUAAACUUUGAUAUUUUUCUCUAUGUACACAAAACCAAAUUACCCAAUAAAACAUACAUAUAUAUAUAUAUAUAUAUAUAUAUAUAUAUAUAUAUAUAUAUAUAUACAUA